rnacentral:tRNA from 1 species
GGGGAUGUAGCUCAGUGGAACAGUGCCUGCCUGGCAAGUGCAAGUCUGAGUUUGAUUCCCAGUACCCCCA